GCCAGAUCAGCAGCAGGUGGUGACAAUCACACAGGUGCGUGGGCCAAGAGCAAGAGCCCGUAACAAGCUCUGCCCAGGCAGAGAGGAGCGAGGGAGAGGGAGAGGGGAAGAAAGAAAAACAAAACCUGUAGCCAGUGUGAGCCAGCCAGAGAGACACGGGGACCCUGACACGUACACUGCUGCUACGGUUCAAUAAAAGCAGUUCGUACCGAAGAAACCCCGUGUGUUAUUGCCUCCAAUCAUGACACUGACCAUCAGAUUUUCUUUCAAAUGCCAUUUAGCUCGUCCAUGUGGGCAGCUGUAAGUUUCAGUCAAACCUGGAGAUGUAAAACUGGUUUCACUGUGGACAGAGAUGCUGGUGUUCUAGCAGUUUCCAGUUUGUGGAGGUGUCAUGGCCCAGGAUCUUGGAUUAAGGUUCUUCUGACUGUGCAACCUGUGACUGCAGCUUGAAUCCAAAGAUGAAAACAUCUGGAACUGAAAACUUGAGUACAUUUGGUCUGGUCUCAGCCAGAGACGACUUCAGAGCAAACACUGCUCGAGUUGCUUCCGCCUGCUUUUCAGGCAGCAUUUAUCCUAAAAACCACCUCCAUCGCCUCCACUCCUGCAGCUUUCAGUUUCCACAUACCCAUCAGACGCUUGAGUUGUCUCAGCUGGGUUUGGGCGGGGGAUCAUGUGACCAUCGACUCUGGAAACCUGACAUCAUUUUCCUGCCAACAUUGAAGCUGUGCAUUUAUUAUUAUUUAUGUAUCAGCUCUUUCCCUUGGUGUCAAUAAUCUGCCGACCAUAGAUGCCUCAGCUUCCCUCAAUGACUUGAUAUCUCACUAUAACAACAGACUCAUCAUCCUCUUAGGCACCUUGGGUCCUCAGAAAACUCGAGCCAGUUCCUUCUCUUGCUCUGGCCCCUGGUAUUCAGCUGAACUUCACCAACUCAAAGCUAUUGGACGCUGUCUUCAGGAAAACUGGACUUCCCUUUCAUAAGGAAAUGUAUCUCAGUCAUAUCUAACUUAUUCUAUUCUAUUCUAAAUGUGCCUGUCUCUGAAACACUUUGGCUCAGCUUCAGGAGGCUGUAAAUAAAACAGAUGUGACAGUCACCACAGGCAUGUUUCAAACUGCAUGUUUGAAGGAAAGUUUGUUCAUU
ensembl:lncRNA